rnacentral:lncRNA from 1 species
GAGUAACAUGGCGGCGGCGGCGGUAGCCAGGCUGUGGUGGCGCGGGAUCUUGGGGGCCUCGGCGCUGACCAGGGGUGAGCACGGGCAGCCAGCUGAGACCGGGGUCAGGCGCAGCGGCGUGCCCAGUGCAGAGAGCUCCUCAGGGCUCAUCCCGCGCGUCUGUGCCUUUUAUCUCCCUGUGCAGGGACUGGGCGACCCUCCGUUCUGUUGCUGCCGGUGAGGCGGGAGAGCGCCGGGGCCGACACGCGCCCCACUGUCAGACCACGGAAUGAUGUGGCCCACAAGCAGCUCUCAGCUUUUGGAGAGUAUGUGGCUGAAAUCUUGCCCAAGUAUGUCCAACAAGUUCAGGUAAUACUUACUAAUGUUAUUUGGGUCUGGGUCAAGAAAGAACCAUGUUCGCAGGGCAUGUGGGAGUGGGCAGACUUGUUUCAAAGAAACUACAGAUUCCUCCAUCCCAAGCUUGGACUUUUCUCUCAGCAUUAAACCAGGUGACUCCAGCUGAAGUUAGCUGUUCCCUCAGUAGCUCUUUGUUCCCUCUCCCCUCACUUUCAUGUGUGCAGGUGUCCU